rnacentral:rRNA from 1 species
AACGAACGCUGGCGGCAUGCCUAACACAUGCGAGUCGAACGAAGCCUUCGGGCUUAGUGGCGCACGGGUGCGUAACGCGUGGGAAUCUGCCCUUGGGUUCGGAAUAACAGUUAGAAAUGACUGCUAAUACCGGAUGAUGUCUUCGGACCAAAGAUUUAUCGCCCAAGGAUGAGCCCGCGUAGUAUUAGGUAGUUGGUGGGGUAAUGGCCCACCAAGCCGACGAUCCUUAGCUGGUCUGAGAGGAUGAUCAGCCACACUGGGACUGAGACACGGCCCAGACUCCUACGGGAGGCAGCAGUGGGGAAUAUUGGAAAAUGGGCGAAAGCCCGAUCCAGCAAUGCCGCGUGAGUGAUGAAGGCCUUCGGGUUGUAAAGCUCUUUUACCAGGGAUGAUAAUGACAGUACCUGGAGAAUAAGCUCCGGCUAACUCCGUGCCAGCCGCCGCCGUAA